AAGUCGUAACAAGGUCUCCGUUGGUGAACCAGCGGAGGGAUCAUUACUGAGUUUUUAACUCUCCAAACCAUGUGAACUUACCACUGUUGCCUCGGUGGUCGGUGCUGGAAACAGUGCUGCCACCGGUGGACUACUAAACUCUUGUUAAUUUUUGUCAAAUCUGAAUCAAACUAAGAAAUAAGUUAAAACUUUCAACAACGGAUCUCUUGGUUCUG
rnacentral:misc_RNA from 1 species